rnacentral:rRNA from 1 species
UACGUAAAAGACUAGUGUUAUUCAUCUUUAGUAGGUUUAAAGGGUACCUAGACGGUAUAAUUAGUCUUAAACAAGAAACGGUUAUGCUAGAGUUAUAUAUGAGAAGGGGAGUAUUUAUGGAGUAGAGUUGAAAUUCUUUGAUCCCAUAACGACUGGUAGCGGCGAAAGCAACCUUUUAUCUAAUAACUGACGUUGAGGGACGAAGGCUCGGUCACGAA